rnacentral:lncRNA from 1 species
AAAAAACUAAAAAAACCUCUGAAAAAGAGCCCCAACCCUCGGAGCUCCGGCCUCGUGGCUGUCCUAGCUCGUCCCAAGGUCGAGCGUGCGUGGUCUCCACGCGCUUAACGAGCCGCCACCAGGGCCACCAUAUACGGUGGUUAGGGUUUCAAAAACCCUCCCUUUUCUUUGCCAACUCUCAGGUAUCAACCUUCUCCCUCUGUUUUUAGUUUCUAUUUUUUAGAUCUGCGUGUGUGUAUGUUAGUAAAUGACCAGAUAAGAUUAAAAAAGAAAAAAAAUUCGAUUACCUUUGAAAAACGAGAUUUGCUUCUUAUUUCUCUGUUUCAAAAGGAUUACAAUGGUUCGUGCUAUUCUAUCAGGUAAAUCUCUAUACCUUCUUUUUUUGUUUCUCUUUGCUUCUAAAAACUCUCUGUUUUUUUAUUCCCUGCUAUUCUUCUCUCUGCUUUUGUGUGGGUGUAUUUCUGCUAUCAGGUCCCCCCCCCCGUGUGUGUUUUUUAGAACCCCCUUUUACAAGUGAAAAGAAAGGCUUUAUAGCCUCGGUUCCUUACAUAUUCGGGGAAAGGAAUCUAAGAUUUCUUUCUAUUUUGUGUCUUCUGUAUCUUUGACUGUGAUUUCCUUGCCUUUUUCUACUCUGCUUUUUCGCGUAUCUGCUGUUUGUUUCCUUUUCUUGCAGGUAUCCCAAUAAUCUCGGCGUUAACGGUGGUACCAAGGCUAGAGGGGAGGCCUGAGAUCGCGGUGCUGGACGGUCACGAGAGGGACGGACGCAUUGAUGGCGCGUCAGUAUGCAUUGACGGCCUCAAUCUGGGGAGUUGCAUCGACGCUCCCCGAAGCUUCCAGAAACUAUUGCGGUGCGAGGGGAAAGAGCUAGGGUUGAAAACCCUAGCUGAUAGUUUUGGGUUUUUGGGCCUCUGUUAUUCGGGUCUAGUUUAGGUCUGGGCUUCAGGUAUAUUUGGGCUAAAGUUGUAAUUGUAAUGGGUCAAGGGUGUAAACGGGUUAAGGGAUUUGGGACUUAGUUUAGGCUGGGCUAGUCUAGUAAAAUUUGGCUGUUGGGUCUGUAAAAACUUUUAUGGACUGUUUAAAUUAAAUAAAUAAAUAUUUAUUUAUUUA